GGUUGUUUAACUCAGUUGGUAGAGUGUAAGGCCCUUAACCUUGUGGUUGUGGGUUCAAGCCCCACAGUAGGUG
rnacentral:tRNA from 1 species